AGCGAACGCUGGCGGCAGGCUUAACACAUGCAAGUCGAGCGGGCGUAGCAAUACGUCAGCGGCAGACGGGUGAGUAACGCGUGGGAACAUACCUUUUGGUUCGGAACAACACAGGGAAACUUGUGCUAAUACCGGAUAAGCCCUUACGGGGAAAGAUUUAUCGCCGAAAGAUUGGCCCGCGUCUGAUUAGCUAGUUGGUGAGGUAAUGGCUCACCAAGGCGACGAUCAGUAGCNGGUCUGAGAGGAUGAUCAGCCACAUUGGGACUGAGACACGGCCCAAACUCCUACGGGAGGCAGCAGUGGGGAAUAUUGGACAAUGGGCGCAAGCCUGAUCCAGCCAUGCCGCGUGAGUGAUGAAGGCCCUAGGGUUGUAAAGCUCUUUUGUGCGGGAAGA
rnacentral:rRNA from 1 species